rnacentral:rRNA from 1 species
AUUGAACGCUGGCGGCAUGCUUUACACAUGCAAGUCGAACGCGAAAGGGGGCAACCCUGAGUAGAGUGGCGAACGGGUGAGUAAUGCAUCGGAACGUGUCCUGUAGCGGGGGACAACCCCGAGAAAUCGGGGCUAAUACCGCAUACGUCCUACGGGAGAAAGUGGGGUCGCAAGACCCUCACACUAUAGGGGCGGCCGAUGCCGGAUUAGCUAGUUGGUGGGGUAAAAGCUCACCAAGGCGACGAUCCGUAGCUGGUCUGAGAGGAUGAUCAGCCACACUGGGACUGAGACACGGCCCAGACUCCUACGGGAGGCUG